CGGUGGAUGUUGUUGUCACAGGUCAAACAGCACAGAUGAUAAAUGGAGAUCAUAUAAGUAAAGUUGGAGUUAUCUAUGUAGAGAAAGGAUAUCACUCAGUUAUAUUUGCCUUUGAGAUAGACAUCCUGAGUAGGUUGUAUGUAUAAUUCACAAUAAGUAUAUCUGAAGGAAGGUAGAGAUAGGAACAUUCAUGAAUAAGAGAUCUUUGACUCUAUUUCCUUAUAAAGGAGAACCUUUUAGACAAAUUAACCUAGCUGAAAAGAUUCUGGGAAAGAAGUUGUUUUUACCAGUAUGUAUGUCAGGGGCUGUGCCAUUUCACUUUAGCUUCUAGAAAACAAUCAUGAAGCAAGGUUGUGGUGGGCAUAAUAGAUAGGGAUAAAAUUAAGAUAUAGGAAUGGAUGUAGGCAAAUUUCUUUACAGAAACUUCUCUCUCAGUGUAUUAACAAAAUUUCAAAUAAUGUUAAUGUUGCAAUACAACCCAUCAUAAAUACUUAUGCUUGCAUUAAGUAAUAAAGAGUGUAAAUAUAUUCAACAUCUAAAGCAGAUGGUAUUUUAAAAAUAAAAAUGGUUAUUGUUUAAAACUUUAAAGCAGAGGUGUAUAGUGUCUUGCCUUAUUCCCCUCUAAUCAAGGACACUUUUACAGAUGAGAGAAUUCCUGGAGGCCAGUUACCCUUGUUUUCACUGGGAAGAUUACAGUAAACCGGAUUUCUAGCAUAAAGGAAAAACGAAAAGUUAAGGAAAAUAAAAUGCCUGUGUUGUUACAUGUGUUAUACAUAUGCUAUGUAUGUGAAAAUUAUCUGACUAGUUUAAAGAGAAAUCAACACAAAAACUCUAUAGCCACAGCCCAAUAUUAAAAAACAGACACACAAAAACACACUUUAUAUUUCAAAUCUCCUUCUACAUAUGCUCCAGAGAUUCUUUAGGUUCCCUUUCUAGGGAAAUAAUUAUGGUUAAGUCACAUAUAACUGCACUGAUUAAUGCUGUCAAGAACCAAACUCUCCACAGAGAAUAAAACAAAGCAGAAACAUGAGGUUAUGGCAAGGGUCUUGAUCUGCACACCGAGAAAAUCCAGGCUACAAGAGCAAUGAGUUCGGAACUGCUCACAGGUUAAGGGAUUUUUAUGGAGUAAAUACAGAAGACUUUUUUAGCUGGUUGGUUGCCUAAUGGUCUUCCUACUUAUUUGGAUAGCUGGGUAGCUGAGUCACAGGAACAAGAAAGUCCACAGGUGUCUUGAACAGAGUUGGAGUUUGGGGAGUGGCUGGUGUCCUCCGAUUUCUGAAAAGAGCUGUAGAUUUCUGUAAGGUAGGUUAAGUUUCCUUUAUGUGCCUGCAUUGACUUGUCUCCAUUCUGUCCCUGAAUAAAUUACCCCAUUUUAGCUUGCCAAAACAUUUUUUAAAUGGUUUCUCUCACCAACAGUGGAUGAGAAGCCCCAGUGUUCUGUACUACUCAGAAUAUAUUAUCUUUACUUAAGUUUUAACUUUUCCCAAUUUGGCACAUAUAAAAUAGAUUCACAACCUGGCACAUGUAAAAUAGAUUCACACUGUGAUUUCAAUUUUCAUUUCACUGAUGAUUAAUCAGGUUAAACCAUAGGAAAGUAACAGUUAAAUGUUUUAUACAUAUAUCUUUAAAUAAAGGGUUAAAAUAUAUGCUGGUAAACUGUGUUUAUCCUAUAGAAAAAGAAUUUUGAUUUCUAAAUUGAAAUGAAAAAAAUUUAAUGUUCCUGCAUAAUUUUUUAAACUUUAUUAACUGAAACCUAUGUUUUUCAUUGUUCUUUAGGAAAAUCUGCAGAACUUUUCAGAAGGAAAUUUACUUAAGAACAGCAAUCAAGACACUUUGUAGGACAAUAAAGACAUUAAUAAUACUUUGUUAUUGCACAUGAAAUUAUUUGCUAUCAAGUUUAAUGGCUUACAAUGCAUUUUUUUUGGCAGUAUAAGGAAAUUAGCUCUGUUUCCUGGCACAAUUAGUUAUAAGUCCUUCAUUUUCAUUCUCUUAAAGACUGAAGGACAAAUCAGUGAUAACAGAAUCAAGCACUUGGGUAGUCAGCUAAGAUUCUUGUCUAGGAGUAAUUUAUCAUGUAAAUGGUGCCUGCAUUUUUUUUCCUAAUGGAAAUUUGAAAACAGCUUUCUGCAUGACUGAAGCCUUUGUCGGUAGCCCAUCCCAACAUAUGACAAAUGUAAAUUUUCUCUACAUGAUAGUAGGACAAUCAGUGUUGCAGACUUUUGAAAUGACAUAAUUAGUUGAAUACAUAUAUCUUUUUCCAAAUCCUCUCUUGAGCUUUUAGAAUUUUAUGUGUAUCUUACAUUUUCACUCUAAGUAAAGCUUAAUAAAUUAUAAAAUACUUUUUUCUCUGUGAAAAAAUAAUAGUUUGGGAAGCCAAAUCUAUAAAACAUAUGUAUGCAUAUUUUUCCAUUUAACCUAUGACUUCUUCAAGGUAUUAAAAUAAUAUUAAUAUAUUAAGACUAUUUGAAUCAACAAAAUGUGUCUAUUGAAAAUAUCAAAAAUAUUUAGAUGAUUGGUUGUAUAACACCAGAUAAAUGAAUAUUUUCAAAUGUAUAUCACACAGAUUUUCUUUAUUUUUCUUGGGGUUUUUGGCACCAUUUAGAGAAUCUAAAGUACUUUUCAUUUAAAUAUAUAAUACAUAAAACUGAUAUCGGAGCCAAUACCUAAAAAUAUGGGUAUGCACAAAUAUUUAACGUUUAUCAUAAAGGAAAAAAAUAUGUCAAUGGAUCUAUGUCUGUGAAAGGAAAACAGUAAUUUUUAAAGUAAUAUAUUUGUCUUUUUUUUAAGGGCUACACCUAUGGCAUAUGGAAGUUCCCAGGCUACGGGUCGAAUUGGAGCUGCAACUGCUGGCCUAUGCCACAGCCACUGCAAUGCCCAAUCCUUAACCCUGUCAACCUAAAAAAAUGCACAACCUGAAAGCUGAAAGUUAGAUUUUAUUUGGGGCAAAAUUAAGACAAGCCUAAGGAGUUUCCGUCGUGGCUCAGUGGUUAACGAAUCCGACUAAGAACCAUGUGGUUGCGGGUUCGAUCCCUGGCCUUGCUCAGUGGGUUAAGGAUCCGGUGUUGCCGUGAGCUGUGGUGUAGGUUGCAGACGUGGCUUGGAUCUUGGGUUGCUGUGGCUCUGGUGUAGGCCAGAGGCUACAGCUCCGAUUCGACCCCUAGCCUGGGAACCUCCAUAUGCUGCAGAAGCGGCCCUAGAAAUGGCAAAAAG
rnacentral:lncRNA from 1 species